UAGAGUUUGAUCAUGGCUCAGAACGAACGCUGGCGGCAGGCUUAACACAUGCAAGUCGAGCGCCCCGCAAGGGGAGCGGCAGACGGGUGAGUAACGCGUGGGAAUCUACCCAUCCCUACGGAACAACUCCGGGAAACUGGAGCUAAUACCGUAUACGCCCUUAGGGGGAAAGAUUUAUCGGGGAUGGAUGAGCCCGCGUUGGAUUAGCUAGUUGGUGGGGUAAAGGCCUACCAAGGCGACGAUCCAUAGCUGGUCUGAGAGGAUGAUCAGCCACAUUGGGACUGAGACACGGCCCAAACUCCUACGGGAGGCAGCAGUGGGGAAUAUUGGACAAUGGGCGCAAGCCUGAUCCAGCCAUGCCGCGUGAGUGAUGAAGGCCUUAGGGUUGUAAAGCUCUUUCACCGGUGAAGAUAAUGACGGUAACCGGAGAAGAAGCCCCGGCUAACUUCGUGCCAGCA
rnacentral:rRNA from 1 species